rnacentral:tRNA from 1 species
CCUUCGAUAGCUCAGUUGGUAGAGUGGAGGACUGUAGAUCCUUAGGUCGCUUGUUCGGCUCCGGCUCGAAGGA